rnacentral:rRNA from 1 species
CCAAUAGCGUAUAUUUAAGUUGUUGCAGUUAAAAAGCUCGUAGUUGGAUUUCGGAUGGGAUUUGCCGGUCCGUCGUUACGAUGUGCACUGGCCAGUCCUAUCUUGUUGUCGGGGACUAGCUCCUUGGAUUCACUUCCUGGGACUAGGAGCUGACGAGGUUACUUUGAGUAAAUUAGAGUGUUCAAAGCAAGCCUACGCUCUGAAUACAUUAGCAUGGAAUAACACGAUAGGACUCUGGCUUAUCUUGUUGGUCUGUGAGACCAGAGUAAUGAUUAAGAGGGACAGUCGGGGACAUUCGUAUUUCAUUGUCAGAGGUGAAAUUCUUGGAUUUAUGAAAGACGAACUUCUGCGAAAGCAUUUGUCAAGGAUGUUUUCAUUAA